rnacentral:snoRNA from 8 species
AAGACUAUACUUUCAGGGAUCAUUUCUAUAGUUCGUUACUUGAGAAAUGUGUGUCUAAAGUGGUAGGUCUUGCUAUCCAUGAUGACGAUUCAAGAUAUUCCCGUUCAGAGCAUAAAUCUGGUGGCUAGAUAUGACUUUGCUCAUGUUUCUUCCACCUUUGAUGACUUUCC